rnacentral:misc_RNA from 1 species
AAGAUUCCCAAUGCUAUCCCUUCUUUUUAUUUUAUAGGCCACCUUAUAGCCUGAUCUUACAGAAUAGCACCCACGAACAUCAUAAUGCCAAACUAACGUAUCCUCCCACGAAAACAUGGAAAUUGGCAAGGCAAGAAUGCGAUUUGCAUCUUCCUUUAAAAAAUUUGCUCUUACAACAUGAGUGUUCCAACCAUGCUCUGCUUGAUUGAUUAACUGAGAUACCCAUACCACAUUAGUAUUAU